rnacentral:rRNA from 1 species
GUAAGGGGACCGCGUGGGGAGUACGGGCGCAAGGUUAAAGCUCAGAUGAAUGGACGGGGGCGCGCACAAGCGGGGGAGCAUGUGGUUUAAGGCGAUGCACCGCGAAGAGGCUUGCCU